rnacentral:misc_RNA from 1 species
UGUGUGACGAUCAAAUUAAUUUUUUUAAACAAAUGAAAGGCUAUAGACUUUAAGUUCAAUCACAAUUAGAGCAAAAUGAUAUACUAUAUAUAUAGCCUACUGCUUGUUCAUGCUUUCAGUGUUGAUAUUCUGGACUACAGGAACUGAGGUAGCAGAAGACCCUCCAGCCAAAGGAAUGAAGGGUACCUGGGACAAUGGAAGCCCAAGCAUAGCUGAAUUUGAGAAUAUCGCUGGGGUGUAACCAACACCCAUAGGCAUUCUCAUACCCAUGCCUACUCCCAUCCCCAUGGCAGAGAAAUGUGCCAAAUGUGUUGCCUGCUGCAUUCCGGUUGGUACAAUCAUCGGAGGCAUACAAAAGCCGGUUCCCAGUGACAUUAUCUGUAGUUGAAGCUGAAGGGCCUUCAGAUACUCAAUUGCUUUGUCAAGCAUUGAAGCUUUAUCCAUCUUGCUGCAAUUAGGUAUGAGAGCUUGUAAUGCACGCAUCUUCUCGUCGAUCUUAUCUCUUCCUUCCCUUUCAUACUGAUUAUAGACUUCUGGACGUCUUCGCUUGGCAGCUGCACGAGCAGACGCUGGUUUUGGAACUUGUUGAUCUCCCUCAGCAUUUUCCCUUGGAGACGCCAUCGCUUCCUUGUCUUUAUUUUUCCUCUUCAGAGAAGAAUAACUCAGAUCAUUUGAAGCUCCCCAAGAGCAUGUUGAAGUAUCUGCAGCCAAUUGAUCUUCAGAUUUUUCUCUAUCAGGAUUUCCAUUGACUGUAUUUACUGGUAAGCUUGAGGUUGAAUCGGGAACUCGGUCUUGGAACCGCUUGCUUCGAAUAGCAUUUCUAUAGACAGGAACUUCGGAUUGCUCAUCUGGGGGUGACUCUUCCAAAGGAUUUGCAAUCUGCUUUAGAUGGUCUGUCUUAAUUGCUACUAGAUCUGGAUGCUUAUGGAAAUCUUUACCACCUCUUGAACCAAGUGGUGACUCCAGUACUAGUGCUUUUUCGCCUGCAGGAGGCGUAUCCUCUUUGCUUUCUAAAUCCCGAACUCUUAACGAACUCUGACCACCAGCUGGUUCAAUUGCACCAUGGUGCUGGUCAUCGGCUUUAGGGAGCACUCCAGGUCUUAAGAAUAGGGAGAAGUUCCUUGACCCCAAGUUUUUCUCAGGUCCUGACUUGAGCUGUUGCAAAUUCGAGUUCGGCAAUCUAGCCAUUGAAGACAGAUUUUGCCUCCUAUUGGCAACUGUUCUACUAAUCGGAACAGAAUGUUGGCAUUGCUGCAAAGAAGGCUCAUGUAACUGCCUCAAAUUUUCGUCUUUGCAUUCGGGGACAAUUUGGGACUCUGUGAGAUACUCAUCAUAAGUGUUGUUAUUUCUGGUUGUUUCCAGAAAAAUGUUGAGAUUGUUUUCGUAAAAACCAGGAAACAAGUGAUCAGGAUGGCAGUUAUCUUGUACAGAAUGCUUGUGCUUGGAGAGUUCCUUUCGACCUGGAAGACAAUCAUCGAAAUCCGACAAAGAAUUCACGGUCCCUAAUCUUCGUCUCUUUGAAGUGUAGAUUUCGCCACCACUAGUCUUAACCUGAGGUUUAGGAGAGUGAUGAGAAGAGUCACUGAUGCAUGAGGGACUAGAGGACCGUCCACGCAUCAGAAUCUGACCAUUUUUCCAUACGAGUUCUACAAAAUCAUCAGCCCUGCGUUGAAAAUUUUGUCAAAACAAUUACAUAAAAAAGAAACAGGUUUCUAUCUAAAGAUGCAUGAUUAGAGGAAGGAAAAAAAAAAAAAAUACAUGGAAGCCAAAUGGGUUGAAUUUGAUUCAGGCGUUUCCCCUUUGAUCGGGAUGAACAACUUAUAUCUGUAUAUUUUUUAAGAAAUAGUAAAUAAACAGACGAAAAUAUUCUCAGUUACUCCAUCGUUACAGGGCAUCCAAAGCGCUACCCAGAAAACUUCUGUAAAAGAUGGAUUAUUCUAUUCUCUUCUUUUUUUUCUUUGUAAAGGAGAUUAUGGAGAGGAAAACAACAGCAAGAAUUGUGAAGAGCAAGAAAAAGAUAAUGGCCAAAAAAAUCCUGAUGUGAUAUCCUGAGCACAUUAGCCGAAAGGAUAGCAUUAGAUGGGCCAACCUAUAAGGACCAGGUAACCUGUCCGGGUCCAACCUCAACCACUCGAAUCAUAGAAAUCAAGGAGUUAUAAAUGCUUCCUUCCAAAGAAAGGAAAAUUACUGGGUGCAUUGGCAUACUAAAAAAUAAUG